GUGCAGCAUAGCUGGCACUGGGGUCUGGAUGGAAUUUCUGCCUGCUGCCAAGCUCUGUAACCCUGCUUGGUUGUGUGUGGGACUGCACACACAUCCCCUGUCUUAGUCUGAACAGAGAACUUAGCUUUGGGCUUUGAAUUAACUAAGUAAAUGUGGUUGAGCAACUUUGCUUUAGUCCAAUACAGCUUCUAAAUGUUCAUAUACCUUUUAAAAAUAUGUACCCUAAGUUGGAGUAGUGUGGGGAAAACUUCUGCAAUUGGCUGAAUAAAUCAUUACACAAAGAGUCUGGGAAACUAAGAGAAAACAUCUGAUAAACAUUUUAAGAGUAAGGGACACUUGUAUGAUGAAAAUUCUUAUAAAGGAAACUUCUGGUUCUGUGUUUAGGUGUGGAGGUGUGGGAGGGAGGAGAUCAGCUGCUCGUGGUCUGUGAGCUUGCUGUAGUCUGUUGGUCCCUAACAUCUGCACUAUUAAAAGGUUACAUGGUUUUCCUAGAACAUGUUCAUCUAUAAUCCAUGCAGAGAUAGCAGAAAACUCAGCAUGGAAUUAAAGCAUACUUCUUGUCCUCUGUUAUGCACCUUCCCAUUCUCCCCCAAAGUACACAUUCUUGCCAUCAAAGACAAUGAUUAGGAGAAGUGGUGGUGACUCUUUCUUUAAGCUGUUCCAAAUUUGGUGUAUUCUGUGCAAAUGCAUGUUAUGUUGUUCUGUGUCCUGGUGAUAUGUCUGCCACAGUGAACCAUUCUUAGAAGAGAAGGUGUUACAUAGUUGAAUGUAAUAAAUGUUUGGGGUUUUUUUAUAUUUUGUUGUAGACUAUAGAAAGCUACACAAAUUGAUUUCAGACAAAGAGAUACGAGUCUGAUUGUUAAAGAAAAAUGAAGUGCUUUUUUCAGGGAAAACUUUAUUUCCAUAAUCUGAUUCAUCUUGUUGAAACUAUAUUCAUAUUCAUUUGACUGUAUUUUUUUCAUUUAAGAGCCAGGUGAACCAAGCCAUAUAGAAGUAUCUCUAGGAGAUAAUACAGAAACAGAGUUAAAGGAAGAUCCAGACCUGACCUCAUAGACCUCAUCAAUACUGGUCAGAAGCUUCCCGUUCUGAGAAGACCCUGCUGGGCCUGUCCAGAGCUGUGUAUUAUAAUUGUAUAAGAGAAGUAUCUUCUAUACAAACACUUUUAUACUAUUAGAUAGAAAUGUCUACUUUUUCAGCAGUUCUGUGAAUUGACCUAAAUCAAAGAAUAACUGUAGAUUUGGAAUGUCUGCGUUUUCUUUGGAAUAUAUUUUGAGGACUAAAAUGCAUUGCUGCAGCAAUGCUGGGGAGAGACAGGGAUUAAAAUCAACAGGGACUUAACUGAGGCUGUCUACAGUUUCCAGUAAAGGUGAAUUUUACUGUACCUGAAUGCAUCCUACCUUUUGUAAGGAAAAAUUCCUGCAAAGAGUUCCGUUUGUUUACUUCGGAGGAAAAAACCUCCACAUUAGUUUUCAGCAUUAAUUUAAUGGCUCAUUGGACAAUAGUAUCUGUAUAUUUGAGCUAAUUUUUCCUGUUUUAUCUAUCACAGUUUAUAUGUUUUUCCUAAAUAAAAGAUAAACUGGUUCACUUGA